CCUACGGGAGGCAGCAGUAGGGAAUUUUCCACAAUGGGCGAAAGCCUGAUGGAGCAACGCCGCGUGCAGGAGGAAGGCCUUCGGGUUGUAAACUGCUUUUAUCUGUGACGAUUAUGACGGUAGCAGAUGAAUAAGGAUCGGCUAAUUCCGUGCCAGCAGCCGCGGUAAU
rnacentral:rRNA from 1 species